rnacentral:tRNA from 1 species
GCAGUGGUAGUUCAGUGGUAGAAUUCUUGCCUUCCAUCAGGAGACCUGGGUUCGAUUCCUGGCAGAUGCA